UGGCCGUCCGAGUUGUAAUCUAGAGAAGUGUUACCCGCGUCGGACCGUGUACAAGUCUCCUGGAAUGGAGCGUCAUAGAGGGUGAGAAUCCCGUCUUUGACACGGACUACCGAGGCUUUGUGGUGCUCUCAAAGAGUCGAGUUGUUUGGGAAUGCAGCUCAAAAUGGGUGGUAAAUUCCAUCUAAAGCUAAAUAUUGGCGAGAGACCGAUAGCGAACAAGUACCGUGAGGGAAAGAUGAAAAGAACUUUGGAAAGAGAGUUAAACAGUACGUGAAAUUGCUAAAAGGGAAACGCUUGAAGUCAGUCGCGUUGUCCGGGAAUCAGCCUUCCUUCUGGUUGGUGUACUUCCUGGUUGACGGGCCAGCAUCAGUUUUGACCGGUGGAAAAAGUUCGAGGGAAGGUGGCACCUUCGGGUGUGUUAUAGCCCUCGUUCGUAUACAUCGGUUGGGACUGAGGAACUCAGCACGCCGCAAGGCCGGGAUUCGUCCACGUUCGUGCUUAGGAUGCUGGCAUAAUGGCUUUAAUCGACCCGUCUUGAAACACGGACCAAGGAGUCUAACAUGCCUGCGAGUGUUUGGGUGGAAAACCCGAGCGCGUAAUGAAAGUGAAAGUUGAGAUCCCUGUCAUGGGGAGCAUCGACGCCCGGACCAGACGUUUUCUGACGGUUCUGCGGUAGAGCAUGUAUGUUGGGACCCGAAAGAUGGUGAACUAUGCCUGAAUAGGGUGAAGCCAGAGGAAACUCUGGUGGAGGCUCGUAGC
rnacentral:rRNA from 1 species